rnacentral:ncRNA from 1 species
CGGAUAGAGGUUGCGAUUUUUAAGAGUAAGUCAUCUGACGGCAGGCACCGGAUGAUGAUGACGGAAAGGAAAAGUCGCCGAAAGGUCACAUGGUGCAUGACAUGUGAUUCUUGGGGAUACGGUUAAGAGCCGUAUCACUGUCAUCUUAAUUUAUCAUAAGAUGGGGCGCUAUCAG